rnacentral:rRNA from 1 species
AGAGUUUGAUCAUGGCUCAGAGCGAACGCUGGCGGCAUGCUUAACACAUGCAAGUCGCACGGGCAGGGGCAACUCUGUCAGUGGCGGACGGGUGAGUAACGCGUAGGUAUCUGUCUCCGGGUGGGGGAUAACUGUGGGAAACUACAGCUAAUACCGCAUAACACCUGAGGGUUAAAGGCGCGAGUCGCCUGGAGAGGAGCCUGCGUCCGAUUAGCUUGUUGGUGGGGUAAAGGCCUACCAAGGCGACGAUCGGUAGCUGGUCUGAGAGGAUGAUCAGCCACACUGGGACUGAGACACGGCCCAGACGCCUACGGGAGGCAGCAGUGGGGAAUAUUGGACAAUGGGCGCAAGCCUGAUCCAGCAAUGCCGCGUGGGUGAAGAAGGUUUUCGGAUUGUAAAGCCCUUUUGGCGGGGACGAUGAUGACGGUACCCGCAGAAUAAGCCCCGGCUAACUUCGUGCCAGCAGCCGCGGUAAUACGAAGGGGGCUAGCGUUGCUCGGAAUGACUGGGCGUAAAGGGCGCGUAGGCGGCGGCCAAAGUCAGGCGUGAAAUUCCUGGGCUCAACCUGGGGGCUGCGCUUGAUACUUGGUUGCUUGAGUGGGGAAGAGGGUUGUGGAAUUCCCAGUGUAGAGGUGAAAUUCGUAGAUAUUGGGAAGAACACCGGUGGCGAAGGCGGCAACCUGGUCCUUGACUGACGCUGAGGCGCGAAAGCGUGGGGAGCAAACAGGAUUAGAUACCCCCGUAGUCC